rnacentral:lncRNA from 1 species
CUUUCCCAUUUUCUUCAGAAUUAUACUGAUGAGAAAUGGUCAAUGUAAGCACACAGCUAAGUGCUAAGAUGGAGGCCCCUCCGUAUGGUGAAUCCAGCUUCCACUAUUAACGUUGGAAGCCAAAUGGGAAGAUCACAAAUGGCGACCACAGGGCCAGUGGGAUCAGUGAUGGGAUUCAAAAAAUUUUACUACCGGUUUUGUGGGCUUGGCUUGCUCCGUUCUCCUAUGCAGGGCAACAAAAGAAGACCCAGCCAAUCAGUUGGGACUUGGGAGGCAGAGAAUAAGUGGUAUUCCGAACUACUCAAAAUUUCCAUUUCCAGUUCUCCAAAUUACUCAAAAUUUCUGCUAUCGGUUCUCCAGAACUGGCCAGAACCUGCUGAAUACCGCCUUUGCAUAGGAUGCUGCAACAUUGAAAA